CCCUUCGCCUCAUAUUCAAUCAGAAUAUCAACAACAAUUUAUCCUUAUUCAUAUUGCUGUUUUGUUUCGGUGAUGGCUAAGAUUUCUUUCAUGUUGAUUUUCACUCUUACCCUAAUCAUUUCAGCUAUUUCAAGAACAAGUGGAGCAAUGCCAGGAAAAAAAUGUACGAGAAUAUUGAAUCCAUAUGCAUGCAUGUACAGUUGUAAUGGGGAUUGUCAGGAUCAAUAUCACGGAAUUGGAUAUUGCGUUGAAUAUCCUCAAAAUUAUAAAUGUGUUUGUGUAUACGAUUGUCCUAGUUAGAAGGACAUGUCCUAUAAUGUUCAAUUUGAAAUACGCAAUAAUAAGAAAAUAAAAUAAUUUCUGCUGUUA